UACGGAGGGGGCUAGCGUUGUCCGGAAUCACUGGGCGUAAAGCGCACGUAGGCGGCUUUGUAAGUUAGAGGUGAAAGCCCGGGGCUCAACUCCGGAACUGCCUUUAAGACUGCAUCGCUAGAAUUGUGGAGAGGUAAGUGGAAUUCCGAGUGUAGAGGUGAAAUUCGUAGAUAUUCGGAAGAACACCAGUGGCGAAGGCGACUUACUGGACACAUAUUGACGCUGAGGUGCGAAAGCGUGGGGAGCAAACAGG
rnacentral:rRNA from 1 species